UACGUAGGUGGCAAGCGUUGUCCGGAUUUACUGGGCGUAAAGAGCGCGCAGGCGGUCGUUCAAGUCGCGUGUGAAAGCCCCCGGCUCAACUGGGGAGGGUCACGCGAUACUGAUCGACUGGAAGGCAGGAGAGGGUAGUGGAAUUCCCGGUGUAGUGGUGAAAUGCGUAGAUAUCGGGAGGAACACCAGAGGCGAAGGCGGCUAGCUGGAUAGGCACUGACACUCAACUGCGAAAGCGUGGGGAGCAAACAGG
rnacentral:rRNA from 1 species